CGUUUUACCUGAACUUCCGGGUUUAUUUCUUUGUUUUUUAUUUUUUUUCACUUUCUUCAGGAAACAGGGAGGGAGAGGUGAGAGAAGCAGUUGAUAUUCUUUGCAAUUGAGAUCUUUUUAGGUUUAAUUCGAUUUCAAUUUUCUUUUUAGGUUUUAGAUCUUCGUUUCUGUUGUUUGCUCGAAACUGUAAGGAAUUUGGUUUCUCAGAUUUAAAUUCGAGAAAAGUGAAGCUAGAAGAUGGUGCUGCCAUCGAUUCAGAGGAACGAGUGGAAGAUUAGGGCGUAGCUUCACAAUAAGAAAAUGAAACAGAGAUUGAGGAGAUGUUUACAAGGGGUUGCCGAUGAAUCUGGUGGUGGGGUUGAGGUCGAAUUCAGAGACCGAAAAGGUCGUGACUGAGGCAGACGCCGUCUAGCCAUGGUUUCCGGUGAGAUUCUAGUUGAGAAUGGUACGGCAAGGCUCUGGUAGUAACUGGUUAAGACGAUUUAGCAGAGGCAAGAAGAAAUUGGGUUUUGAUGAUGUCAAAUUCGAGAGUCUACUGAUGAAUCGAGAGAAGAUGAAGCUGAUAUUAACUGGGAUGAGACUGCUUUGUGGUUCUAGCUGAGAAUUGCAGAGAUGGGUUCAAUGGACUUUAGGGGUUUGAGAAGAUUGAACUAAUUCAAAGUCUGCUGGUGGUUGUGUUGGCCACGAGAUGGUGUUGGUAAUGAAUUUGGCUAAUGGAGGAAGCUGAGUUGGCUAAUGAAGACUGUCAUGGGGUCGUUGUUCAACUGAAUUGAUUCAAUUGUGAUGACUGUCAUGGAUUUUGGUUAUGAGAAAUAAGGAAUUGGAGAUAACACUGAAGGUGCUUUCGAUUCCAGAAAUGAAGGAAGAUGGUCCUAUUGAGGGUUGUUUAGAGGAGAUGAUAGUGCUUGAAGUGCAGUGCUGAUGAUUGGGUUGGUAACUAAGAAAUUACCUUAGUUAAGUGCAGUGCUGAUGAUUGGGUUGGUAACCAGUUGCUAUUGAGGUUGUAAAAUGCAUCCCAUUGUUUAGAGGAGAUGAUAGUGCUUGAAGUGCAGUGCUGAUGAUUGGGUUGGUAACUAAGAAAUUACCUUAGUUAAGUGCAGUGCUGAUGAUUGGGUUGGUAACCAGUUGCUAUUGAGGUUGUAAAAUGCAUCCCAUUGUUUAGAGGAGAUGAUAGUGCUUGAAGUGCAGUGCUGAUGAUUGGGUUGGUAACUAAGAAAUUACCUUAGUUAAGUGCAGUGCUGAUGAUUGGGUUGGUAACCAGUUGCUAUUGAGGUUGUAAAAUGCAUCCCAUUGUUUAGAGGAGAUGAUAGUGCUUGAAGUGCAGUGCUGAUGAUUGGGUUGGUAACUAAGAAAUUACCUUAGUUAAGUGCAGUGCUGAUGAUUGGGUUGGUAACCAGUUGCUAUUGAGGUUGUAAAAUGCAUCCCAUUGUUUAGAAGCCUGGAGAGUCUAAGGUUAAUUGCUGUAGAAGAAUGUGAUAGCCUUAGGCACAUUUUACCAAUGAGGCUACUUAUUCAAGGUGGGCUACCCAAACUAGAAGCAAUUGCAAUUUGUGAUUGUGCAACGAUAGAGGUGAUAAUUUAUGAAGACGUAGGCAUCAAUGAUAUUCAUGGAGACAAGACAUUCAUAUCAACCAUAGAGGUGGAAGUGCUCACUGCGUUAAGACUGCUAAAUCUAAUUCGCCUUCCAAAUCUUUCUGGUUUCCAUGACCAACAUGGGUAAACAUCACUAGUAUUUGGCUGGCCUUCAUUAGUAUACAUGUAUGUGGUUAACUAUAAUCUAAAGAGACUACCACCCAAACUGGAAAAAUUGCAGGGAGAUAGUGAAGCGGUGUUUGAGAAGUGGUUGAAGUUGGAAGAUGAGAGCAUGAAGUCAAGCCUACGACCCUUGUUUAAGGUUCAUGAUGGUCGUGAAGAAUAUAAGGAUUGGACAGAGGUAUCUUACCUUUUUGGCUGAUUUGGUUUGUGUGUACUUUUGGAUAAUACUUCUCAUCUAAUAGUACAAUAUUUUCAACCUCAAGGUGCUUGAAGUGCAGUGCUGUUGUUUUGUUUGUUUGUUUUGUUUGAGAGUUGCAACUGAUUGCAAUCAAAUGAGCAUUAAAGAUGCAUUGGCUGCACUG